rnacentral:rRNA from 1 species
CACGUAGGGUGCGAGCGUUGUCCGGAAUUAUUGGGCGUAAAGAGCGUGUAGGCGGUCCGGUAAGUCAGCUGUGAAAGUCAAGGGCUCAACCCUUGAAUGCCGGUUGAUACUGUCGGGCUAGAGUCCGGAAGAGGCGAGUGGAAUUCCCGGUGUAGCGGUGAAAUGCGCAGAUAUCGGGAGGAACACCAAUGGCGAAGGCAGCUCGCUGGACGGUACUGACGCUGAGACGGCGGAAAAGCGUGGGGAGCAAACAGGG